GACGAACGCUGGCGGCGUGCCUAAUACAUGCAAGUCGAACGCUGAAGGAGGAGCUUGCUUCUCUGGAUGAGUUGCGAACGGGUGAGUAACGCGUAGGUAACCUGCCUGGUAGCGGGGGAUAACUAUUGGAAACGAUAGCUAAUACCGCAUAAUAGUAGAUGUUGCAUGACAUUUGCUUAAAAGGUGCAAUUGCAUCACUACCAGAUGGACCUGCGUUGUAUUAGCUAGUUGGUGGGGUAACGGCUCACCAAGGCGACGAUACAUAGCCGACCUGAGAGGGUGGUCGGCCACACUGGGACUGAGACACGGCCCAGACUCCUACGGGGGGCCGCAGUAGGGGAUCUUCGGCAAUGGACGGAAGGCUGACCGAGCAACGCCGCGUGAGUGGAGAAGGUUUUCGGAUCGUAAAGCUCUGUUGUAAGAGAAGAACGAGUGUGAGAGUGGAAAGUUCACACUGUGACGGUAUCUUACCAGAAAGGGACGGCUAACUACGUG
rnacentral:rRNA from 1 species